rnacentral:rRNA from 1 species
GAUGAACGCUGGCGGCGUGCCUAAUACAUGCAAGUCGAGCGGAGAGGCGGACGGGUGAGUAAUGCCUAUGAAUCUGCCUGGUAGUGGGGGAUAACGUCCGGAGACGGGGUCUAAUACACCAUACACUCAGAUGACGCCAGGUAGGAUUAGCUAGUUGGUGGGGUAAAGGCCUACCAAGGCGACGAUCCGUAACUGGUCUGAGAGGAUGAUCAGCCACACUGGAACUGAGACACGGUCCAGACUCCUACGGGAGGCAGCAGUGGGGAAUAUUGGACAAUGGGCGAAAGCCUGAUCCAGCCAUGCCGCGUGUGUGAAGAAGGUCUUCGGAUUGUAAAGCACUUUAAGUUGGGAGGCGAUACCAACAGAAUAAGCACCGGCUAACUUCGUGCCAGCAGCCGCGGUAAUAC